CAAGGAAUUAAGGGUUUAUGGGGAAUACCUUGGCAUUCAGAAACGAUGAAGGACGUGGUUACCGACGAAACGCUUCGGGGAGCUGGAAACAAGCAAUGAUCCGGAGGUAUCCGAAUAAGGAAACUUUAAAAACUUCUUAUUGAAUUCAUAGAUAAGGAAGAGUGAACCUAGAGAAUUGAAACAUCUUAGUAACUAGAGGAAAAGAAAGUAAAAACGAUUCCCGUAGUAGCGGCGAGCGAACUGGGACCAGCCUAAACUUUAAAAAGGGUAGUGGGACAACGUUUAAGAUCAAUGUGAUAAUUAGGAGAAUGGGGUGGAAUACCCAACCAUAGGAAGUGAUAGUCUUGUAUCCGAAAAUUUGAACAGUCUAGUUGUAUCCCAAGUAGCAUGGGGCACGUGGAAUCCCGUGUGAAUCUGCGAGGACCACCUCGUAAGGCUAAAUAUUCCUGAAUGACCGAUAGUGAAAUAGUACCGUGAGGGAAAGGUGAAAAGAACCCCGGGAGGGGAGUGAAAUAGAACAUGAAACCAUAAACUUACAAGCAGUAGGAGAACGACUUAACGUUUGACUUCGUGCCUGUUGAAGAAUGAGCCGGCGACUUAUAGUUAGUGGCAGGUUAAGGCAGAGAAUGCUGGAGCCACAGUGAAAGCGAGCCUGAAUAGGGCGUUUGUCACUAGUUAUAGACCCGAACCCGGAUGAUCUAACCAUGGCCAGGUUGAAGCUUAGGUAAUACUAAGUGGAGGACCGAACCGACUGAUGUUGAAAAAUCAGCGGAUGAGUUGUGGUUAGGGGUGAAAUGCCAAUCGAAUUCGGAGCUAGCUGGUUCUCCCCGAAAUGCGUUUUGGCGCAGCGGUAAAUGUUAUAGUUUAGGGGUAAAGCACUGUUACGGUGCGGGCUGGUAACUCGGUACCAAAUCGUGGCAAACUAAGAAUACUAAA
rnacentral:rRNA from 1 species